UGUGGGAGCGGGCUUGCUCGCGAAGGCGUUGUGCCAGUCAGCAUCCUCGUCAACUGAAAUACCGCCUUCGCGAGCAAGCCCGCUCCCACC
rnacentral:misc_RNA from 1 species